rnacentral:lncRNA from 1 species
GGCUGCCUAGUCUCUUUUCUUUUUUUUUCUCAUGGCAUUUCGAAUUUGGCCAAAUUAUAAUAUUAGCAUGAGGAAAUAUGGUCAAAUGGGGUAUUUGUGUUUUAGAUGAAUUUAUGUUGCUUUAUCUUGAGCAUUUUAUUAUGAUUUUAUUUCAGUAACAGUGUGCGGUUGUAAGAUCUUCUGUGAGAUUGAUGGUAUAGUGUAAUUUGCAAAACAUGUAAAUAAUCCAUUUGGU